AAAGGGUUUUAAUUCUGAUCUCAUGUAUGUUAAUUCUCUUUCUUUAGAGCAACUCCGCAGGACUCAAAUACAUUCCUGGGUUACCAACAAAGACAUCACAACCACCCUGACUACAUCUUUGGCAGAGAGAAGCAAGAUGCUAUUUCCUGGAUCCAAAUUUCCCAGGACAAAACUUCUUGCAUUUCUCUUUUAAAAAAUGGAAGACCACAAGAGGGCACCAAACUUCAUCUUUCCGGCUGAGAAAACAGCAUCUGGGCAUUGCAAAGUACAAAAUGAAGAGGUGGCCAAAGGAACAAGUUGUUAUUGUUUGUCUUUGUUCCCUAAUAAAAUUAGAAACAUAUCUUUAUAUUA